rnacentral:rRNA from 1 species
AUGGGACAUUUGUACAAUCCACAUAUGAAGAUAAGGAAGAAAGAGAUGUUUAUUUGCUGUCCAAAAAGUUCUCUCACGUCACUUUUGGCCCAAGAGAAGAUAGAGUCCAAGUCUCUCACGUUCUGGAUUCAGAUUCGGACUGCACAGACACACCUGACUCAAAACACACACAAGUUUUUCAUACGGACUCCGAAUUGGGUGAUUCUUUUUUUGUUGGAAACUAGAUUUCGUGCACUUUCCAACCCAAUUGGAAUCACCUUCAAAUUCGUCCGGAGCGUUGAGUUGUGGACGAAACAAUCUGAUGCUGCAGCAGAAUUCGAGUCAAACUACAAGUCCAAAGGUGUUACAUCACCUCCACUUGGGCCCAUUGGCCUUGUACGACCUAGAUUUAGUUUUAGGCUGCCUUGGGACGUCCUCCCACCUCCUUGGCCGCCACCCCUUGCUCCUAUAUAA